UACGGAGGGGGCUAGCGUUGUUCGGAAUUACUGGGCGUAAAGCGCGCGUAGGCGGACCUGCAAGUCGGGGGUGAAAUCUCUCGGCUCAACCGAGAAACGUCGGCUGAUACUGCCGUUCUUGAGGGAUGCAGAGGAGACUGGAAUUCCCGGUGUAGCGGUGAAAUGUGUAGAGAUCGGGAGGAACACCGGUGGCGAAGGCGGGUCUCUGGGCAUCUCCUGACGCUGAGGCGCGAAAGCGUGGGGAGCAAACGGG
rnacentral:rRNA from 1 species